rnacentral:tRNA from 1 species
GUAUUGGUGCUUCAGUGGUAGAAUUCUCGCCUUCCAAGCAGGACACCUGGGAUCAAUUCCUGGCCGAUGCA